GUUCAUGUGAUCUGUGCAGUGUUUUUUUAUAUACAGUCUAUGGUGACUUGAGUUCAUUAAACCUGUCAUCUAACCAAGAAAACAAAGCAACCACAUUUAUUUAUUAUGUAUUUAUUCGAGGCUUAAACUGUGUCAGUGUGGUAAAUCCUCAACAUUGUAGAAGAUCACGGAUGGGGCAGGUCGCGGUGAUGAAGAUCACUUUUCUCAUUUAAAAAAAAAUGUCCAAAACACAGCUUAAACUCCAGUGAUAAAUUAAUGCGCAACUCGAAUUAACCACGCCAGUAACAGUGUUACCCUUUUCACUUUUUCAACGUAUGCGCCAGGUGAACAACUCUAGUAGGACAGAAUAGGCGCCAUUUUCGAUCCGGUAUCCAGCUUUAAUAAUGCAUCUAUACGUCUGGCGCAUUUACGGUGGAUGUAUUUUAAGACCAAUCAGAAACGGUUGCUAGGCGGACCAGAAUUGGCCGGCCAAUCAGCGUUUUUCUCCCAAUGUCAGCUGGCGUAUGUCGUCAUUGGUCACGACAUGCUCGUGAUUGGCUACAAUCUUCUGGGUGGAGCGCAGAGAGGCGGAGAAACGGAAGUCGGAAAACAGAUUUAAACUAACGUUGAACCGUUUCCUCUGUUUGCCAGUACUGAGAGAAAACGUCGUUACUGACGAGAUCUGGAUGCUAAAACAAACUCUGGGACUGCUUUUUUCACGUUAAUGAAGAGGGUCGAGUGCUAAAAAAAAACUCAGGGGCUGCUUUUUAUACGUUAAUGAAGAGGUCCGGGUGCUAAAAAAACUCGGGGGCUGCUUUUUUUUGUCGAACACGAGUGAGACUGGACGCUGAACAAGCCUGCGGCGCGGAGGUUGACUGGUUCAGCUGCUGCAGCCUGGACAGAAACACCAGCUCUCACCUUACAAACCAAACAGGUGUCGCCGCUUUGUCCACAAUCGCAGAGUCUUCGUACAAUGAGGAAGUUCUUUGAGACCAGGACAGAGGCCUCCAGGAUUGAACCAUUAAAUCACAGAGAGAAGAGACCGACGUGAAGACAUUUCCAGAAGGUCUUCAGCUGCUGUCAUCUUCUCCUCCUGCAGAGACAAGAACACAUGUUAAUCAUUUUUUAUGCCUUAUUGUACUAUGACAUGUUGCUUAUGACAAAGGAACUAUCUUAAAGCGGUGAUCUUACAGUUGCACACGCACCUCUACAUGGUGUUUGUGGGUUAGGUUAGAUUUUAAAACUUUAUAACUACUCCCCUUUCUGCAGGAAGGACAUCUCAUAUCAACACUACCAUUAUUGUGUGCAAUAUUACAACUAAUUUUUACUGACAAUGUUUUGUAUGUUAAAUCUGUCGUUUAUACAUUGUAUAAAUAUUUCUACAUAUA